GAAGGAGUAUCGAUCACAGUGUCCUCUACCAGAGCAAAUUUUAGCCCAAAUCAUUGGCUGACCUGUGUCUAUAAGCUGAUGGUGCUGAAGUGGUUUGAGAUGUG
rnacentral:snoRNA from 1 species